CCAUUGCUGUGUGGGGCCCGGGACCCGGACUUCGAGCACGCGGGGAGGGCGGGGCGGCGCCCGGGUUUCCGGGGAGCGGCAGGUGAGGCCACGUGGGGCGAGCGGCGGCGCCCGGCUGGUCGCUGGCUCGGAGCCCGAGUUUCGCGCCUUCUGUCGGGGCGACGUCUUGCCUGAGGCUCGGGUGGGCUCCGGCCUCCGGGAGCCGGUCCGGAAGCACGGAGGGCCCCCUACCUUUGCCCCCGAAGUCAGCCGGGGAACAGCCGCUCCCCUGCAGGAGCCCGGCCGUGGGUGGAGGGCCCCGGUGGGUAAGGUCCGUGACCCUGGGAAACUCCAGCCAGAGAGCGGCGGCAAGAAAGGAGUUGGUUCCCACAAACCGCCCAGAGUCAAGCAGGUUGGAUCAGUUUUACAAGGAAACCAAUGAUGUGCAUGCUUCUAAUGUUAAGGCAGUCUGGUUGGGAUUCCUUUAAGGUGAUUCCGAUGAACAGACAAGCAUGGGGACCACUGAUCUCGACAACUCUGUUACCUCAUGACUUCAAGAAAACCCAACUGCAGCUUCUCCUAGACUACCUGCUCUGCCCUCGGUGGGAGGUUCUCUGCUCUGCAGCUUCUCCAUCAACUUUGUCAGCUUUGAGCUUAAGCAAGGCCACUGCAUGAGAGCUCCCAGACUGCUGGCUGUCAACCAACAUGGAACUGGCAGAAAAAUAGAAAUCUUCUCUCAGGGAGGGAAAAGAACUAAGAUCCUGACAUCAGGAUGUCCCCAAGGAGUAGAACUGAGAUCUUGGCAUUAGGAAUCUCCCAAGGAAUAGACCCAGCUAGAUCACCUUAUGAAGACUACAGUCAACAAGCUACAGGUACGUACACAAGAGUUUCUAAUCAGCUUUCAGGUGCACAACUUUCAGUUUGAGCAAACAGCCAGGGAAUGCCAAAAGGACAAGGAAAGCCUCUAUGACCAAGAUAUUCAGAAAAAAAGAGAAGUUGUUACAUUCACAAAUGAGGAACAAGGUGAUACGUUAAAAAAAAAUUCAGAGAACAAAGAAACAAGCUUUUGGCAAUUAAAAUUAUCAUAGCAGAUAUGAAGGGGGUAUAGAAAAAGUAGAUUAUACAGAAGGUAGAGUUUAGGAAAUAUUUCAGAAAGUAAAAUAGAAAAGCGAAGACAUAGAAAAUAGAAGAGAAAAGGUAAAAAAAAUUAGAAGACCACUCUAGGAGAUUCAAUACCUAAAUAAUAGGAGUUCCAAAAAGAGGAAACAGAGAAAAUAGAGGGAAGGAAAUUAUAAAAAGUAAUUCAAGAGAAUUUCUCAGAACUGAAAGGCAUGCUUGCUCAGCAUGAUGGUCUAAAAUAACCCACACCAUAUCAUAUUAUGGCAUUUCAGAGCACUAGGGAGAAAAAUCCUACAGUCCCCGGAGGACUGGGGAAAAUGUUUCAUACCAGAAUCAAGAAUCAGAAUGGUACCAAAUGCCUAAAAUAUAACAGUAGAAGCUGUAAGACAAUGAAACAAUGUCUUUAAACUUCUGAAGGAAAAUGAUUUCCAAUUUCAAUUUCAUUUCCAUCUAAAAGUGUGAGGGCAGAAUGAAGAUCUCUGAAAAUCUGCCUCUCUUGCAUCUUUUCUCAGGAAGGUACAGGAGGAUGUACUCCACCAGAACAAGGAAGUGAAGUAAGAAAGAGUAAGAUCUUGAUCCAAGAAACAAAGCAAAAAGGAGAGUCUCCAGAAUGGGUUAAAUGGAGACCUCCAGGUGACAGGCGUGCCUAGAAGGCAACAUGUUCAGGAUGGAACAGGUCACAAAGUUCCAGAAGAGAUUUCUUCAGGAUGAUGAAAUUGAUAAAAUAACUAAUUUGAAUAUUUCAAGUGGCAACUUGCACACUUUGGGAAGGAUUUGGAUUAUAUUAGCAACAAGUCCAUAAAAGAAUAAGUAAAUUGACAAAAAGACCGCUGUUAAUUUCAGAGAAAACUAAAAAGCUGUGCAGGGCUUAUUAGAAUUAAGAACUUGUGGGCUUCCCUGGUGGUGCAGUGGUUAAGAAUCUGCCUGCCAAUGCAGGAGACAUGGGUUCGAGCCCUGCUCCAGGAAGAUCCCACACGCUGCGGAGCAACUAAGCCCAGGCACCACAACUACUGAGCCUACACUGUAGGGCCUUCAAGCCACAGCUACUGAAGCCCACAUGCCUAGAGCCUGUGCUCUGCAACAAGAGAAGCCACCGCAAUGAGAAGCCCACACACCGCAACAAAGAGUAGCCCCCACUCGCCGCAACUAGAGAAAGCCUGUGUGCAGCAACAAAGACCCAACGCAGCCAAAAAUAAACAAAUAAAUACAUUUAUUUUAAAAAGAAAGAAUUAAGAACUUGUACUCAUCAAAAGCAAGUAAAAAAAAAAUAAGACUCUUGAGGAGAUAUUCACAAUAUACAUAAAUGACCAAUAAUAUCAAGAAUAUAAAAUAAACUUGUAAAAAUCAAUAGUAAGACCACAAACAACCCAACACAAAAUAGGCAGGGGACAUAAAGUAGUAUUUCACAGAAGAGGAAAUUACAUAUGGCCAAUAAAUACAAAGAGAUGUUCAACAUUACUGGUGAUCAGGAAAAUACAAAUCAAGAUCACAAUGAUAUAGCCAUUUCACUGACAAAAAUUAAGACUCAUUAUACCAAAUAUUGAAUAAUAUGUGGAUUUACAAAAUCUUCUGUGUGUUGCUGGUGAGAUUAAAAAAUAAAAAUAUUUUGACAUUACCUUCCAAAGUUGAAGAAAAACAUACUCUGUGACCCAGCAAUACUCUUUUAGGGUGAAAGAGGAAGUUUUAAAUACAUAUAACAGGAGAAAAAAAUAAAUAAAAAAUAUAUAUAUAUAAUAAGAGAAAAGUACAAGAAGUUUUACCACAGCACUGUUCACCAAAAACCUGGAAAUAACCCAAAAGAUGCACAUCAGUGGGAGAAUGGAUAAAUAAACUGUGAUCAUUUAAGCAGUUAAAACAAGUAAAUAUAUGGGUGAAUCAGAGUGAUUCUAUAAUAAGUGGAAAAAGUACAUCUCAAAUAUUAUAACCAGCCUCAUGUAUUUACAUAAAAUUUUUUUAAAUGUUAAUCUUCCUGCUUUCUAUUCAGUUAUUAGUCAUAUGCUUUUACUUGUUGUGAGAUAAUCCCAGAGAUUAUAACUUGUAUUCUUGAUGUAUAAAACCUAACAUAAAUUAGUACUUUUAUCUCUUCCUGGACAGUUCAAAGACUUUCAAAACAUAUUUAAAUCCUAUUUAUCACUCUCCUUACUUAUUUACUGUCAUUUUCAUGUAUUUUAAUUAUCUCUAUGUUUUUAGCUCCACAAAACAUUAUGACUGUUGUUUUCUGCAAUCAGUAUUGACCUGGUUUACCCACAUAUUUAUCUGUUUUUUGCUCUUCAUUCCUCUCUACAUUUCUGAAUUUCCCCUGAAAUAAUUUUCCUUCUGCUUGAUGAACAUCCUUUAAUACUCUCAUUUUUUCCUUUGAAAAUCUAUUUAUUUUACAUUCUUUUUAAAGCAUUGCUUUUUCUGGGAAUAGAAUUCUAGGCUGGGAUUUAUUUUCUUUUUGCACUUUAAAAAUAUUGUUUCAUUGCCUUUCCGCGUCAGUUGCCCCUGUUUAACCAGAUGUUCCUUUGAAAACCAUCUAUUGUUUUUCUCUUUCUCUUUGUCCUUAGUGUUGAGUAGUCAUACUAUGACAUAUCUAAGUGUGUGUGUGUGUGUGUGUUGUUUGUAAUUUAUAAUAUGACUGAAUCUGUGGCUUGGCAUAUUUUAUCAUUUUUAGAAAAGUUAAAAUUACCUCUUCAGAUAUUACUUCUGUCCAAUUUUCCUUCUCCCCUUCUGUGUCCUCUAUAUUUCUUACAGAAAGAACAAGUUACAAGAAAGAAUAGAAAAAAUAUUCCUUUUUAUUCUUUUUCUUCCUUACUUCAUUUAGGAUGUUUUUAUCUGAUCUGUCUUCCAAUUCACUAAUUCUCUUUUCAACUUUGUUUAUUAAUCUGUUGUUAGAUCUAUUCAUUGGGGUCUUAAUAAAGUUAUUGUUUUUACAUUUCAGAAUUUUUUUCUAUUCUUUCUUAUAGUUUCCAGUUCUUUACUAGAAUUCUCCAUCUUGUCUUUUAUUUCUUUGAACAUAUUAAGUGUAAUUAAAGUCUGUCUUUGAUAACUUCAUUAUUUUGAUCCUCUAUUGUCUGUUGUCUUGUUUUUUCAUUAUGUUUUCAUAUGCUUGGUUAUCCUUUAUUAAACGCCAGGCAUUGUACAGAUACUUUGAGGUCUAAAAUGAGGUUGUCUUACUCCAGCAAAGAUUUGAGUCUGGUUCCAGAAGAUUGCUAAGGGCAUUGGCAAUAUUGGAUCACCUUAAUUCCUUAGAGGACUGAGAAAAAUCUACUUCAAUCUCUGAAGGCUAGUCUAUUUCCAGUCACUCUUUACUCCUAGGAUUUAGCUUUUAUGAUCUCAAUCUGAAACCUGGAGGAUAUCCUUGACACCAUCCUCCUUGGUGGGCACUGAACUCCAGUUUUGUCUGCUGGUCUCGUGUUUAUCAGGAGGUUUGCUCAGCUAUUUAGUUACCUCUUCCAAAAUCAGCAUACGACUAAGAGGAAUAUAGCCUCAAAUUCCUCACCUCUCUGGGUUUCUUCUCCCCGAUAAUGAUCUCACAAUUCUUUACUGUUUUGUUAUCUCUCUGAUAACUUCAAGCAGAUUUUUGAAAAUAUUUUCUCUAGCAUUUCAACUUGUUCUUACUGAAAGGAUUGGCCCCAAUUACAAAGUUUGCCAUUAAAGUGAAGCCUCAAAAGAUACUUUUUAUCUACUAGCCCUAUGUAUCCCUUUGUGUGGAAAUACAUAUAGAUGCAAUAAGCUUUUACAAGAAUGAAAGUAAGAAAAUGACAAACACAAGAUUCAAGACUAUGGUUAACUUAGGGUAAAGGGAGGCAGAAAGAUGGAUUCGUUGUGGGUAGGGAGAAGAUGGUUAGAUGUAGGUUAUUUUUUUUUUUUUACUGAAGUAUAGUUGAUUUACAAUGUUGUCUUAGUUUCAGGGGUACAGCAAAGUGAUUCAGUCCAAUAUGUAAGAAUAUAUAUAUAAAAGUAUAUAUAUAUAUAUUCUUUUUCAGAUUCUUUUCCAUUAUAGGUUAUUACAAGUUAUUGAAUAUCGUUCCCUGUGCUAUAGGUCCUUGUUGUUUAUCUGUUUUAUAUACAGUAGUGUGUAUAUGUUAAUCCCAAACUCCUAAUUUAUCGCUCCCCCCUUUCCCCUUUGGUAACUGUAAGUUUGCUUUCUAUGUCAAUGAGUCUAUUUGUUUUGUAAAUAAGUGCAUUUGUAUCAUUUUUUAGAUUCCACAUAUAAUAUUUGUCUUUGUCUGACUUACUUCACUUAGUAUGAUAAUCUCUAGGUCUAUCCAUGUUGCUGCAAAUAGCAAUAUUUCAUUCUUUUUUAUGGCUGAAUAAUAAUACAUUGUGUAUAUAUGUACCACAUCUUCUUUAUCCAUUCAUCUGUUGACGGGCAUUUAGGUUGCUUCCAUGUCUUGGCUAUUGUAAAUAGUGCUGCUAUUGGGGUACAUACAUCUUUUUGAAUUAGAGUUUUCAUAUUUUCCAGAUUUAUGCCCAGCAGUGGGAUUGCUGGAUCAUAUGGUAACUCUAUUUUUGUUUUUUUAAGGAACCUCAUACUGUUCUCCAUAGUGGCCACACCAGUUUACAUUCCUACCAGCAGUGUAGGAGUGUUCCCUUUUCUCCAUACCCUCUCCAGCGUUUAUUAUUUAUAGACUUUUUUUUUUUUUUUUUUUUGCAGUACGUGGGCCUCUCACUGUUGUGGCCUCUCCCGUUGCGGAGCACAGGCUCCGGACAUGCAGGCUCAGCGGCCAUGGCUCACGGGCCUAGCCGCUCUGCGGCAUGUGGGAUCCUCCCAGACCGGGGCACGAACCGUGUCCCCUGCAUCGGCAGGCGGACUCUCAACCACUGCGCCACCAGGGAAGCCCUAUUUAUAGACUUUUUGAUGAUGCCAUUAUGAUAUCUGAUACCUCAUUGUAGUUUUGAUUUGCAUUUCUGUAAUAAUUAGUGAUGUUGAGCAUCUUUUCAUGUGCCUGUUGGCCAUCUAUAUGUCUUCUUUGGAGAAAUGACUAUUUAGGUCUUCUGCCCAUUCUUUGAUUGGGUUGUUUGUUUUUUGGUUUGUUUUUUUGAUAUUGAGUUGUAUGAGCUGUUUGUAUGUUUUGGAGAUUAAUCCCUUGUUGGCAUCACUUGCAAAUAUUCUCUGCCAUUCUGUAGGUUGUCUUUUUGUUUUGUUUAUGGUUUCCUUUACUGUGCAAAAGCUUUUACAUUUAAUUACAUCCCAUUUGUUUAUUUUUGCUUUUGUUUCCAUUACUCUAGCUGCCAGAUCCAAAAAAUAUUGCUGCAAUUUAUGCCAAAGAGUGUUCUGCCUAUGUUUUCCUCUAGGAGUUUUAUAGUAUACAGUCUUACAUUUAGGUCUUUAAUCCAUUUUGAGUUUAUUUGUGCAUAAGGUGUUACAGAAAGUUCUAAUUUCAUUCUUUCACAUGUAGCUGUCCAGUUUUCCCAGCACCACUUAUUGAAAAGACUGUCUUUUCUCCAUUGUAUAUUCUUGCCUCUUUUGUCAUAGAUUAAUUGACCAUAGGUGCAAGGGUUAAUUUCUGGGCUUUCUAUCCUGUUCCAUUGAUCUGUGUCUGUUUUUUGGCCAGCACCCUACUGUUUUGAUUACUGUAGCUUUGUUAUAUAGUCUGAAGUCAGGGACCAUGAUUCCUCCAGCUCCAUUCUUCUCUCUGAAAAUUGUUUUGGCUAUUCAGUGUCUUUUGUGUUUUCAUGCAAAUUUUAAAAUUCUUUGUUCUAAUUCUGUGAAAAAUGUCACUGGUAAUUUAAUAGGGAUUGCACUGAAUCUGUAGAUUGCCUUAGGUAGUAUGGUCAUUUUAACAAUAUUGAUUCUUCCAAUCCAGGAAUAUGAUAUAUCUUUCCAUCUGAUUGUGUCGUCUUCAGUUUCUUUCAUCAGCAUCUUAUAGUUUUCAGAAUACAGGUCUUUUGCCUCUUUAGGUAGGUUUAUUCCUAAGUAUUUUAUUCUUGUUGAUGCAGUGAUAAAUAGAUGUAGGUUAUUUUCAAGGCUCUAACUUUCAUUAUAGGUGUCAGUUCAAGAGAUCUAGUUACAUUAUUAAAAAUAGCUAAUUAAAUAACUAAAUAAAUGAGGGCUAUGCAUAGACCAAUGAUAAGUAUGUGUCAUGAGUUAUAAUUAAUCCAAAUCUGUGUACCUCAGGUUCA